GUUCACACAGAAAGGGUGUGUGCCAAUAGUGGUGGGUUUGUUCGGAGCUUACUUUGACAGCUGGUUUUUUUUUUUUGGAUACGAGCCUGAAGUGAAAGACAAGUCGGUGUUCGAUGUGCCACCUGGCUGCUAGUUGAAAACAUACCCAGCAGAUGAGAUUUAGUCUACCUUGACCCAUAUUGUUUUCUGAAUCGUCUUAGUACCUACGAGUGAAGAGACAUUUCAACACUCUAAUUUGUAACUUGGCACAUUAAUUAAUUAAUGUGGAACAGCA